CUAUUAUUGACCUUCUGAGGAUAGGUCAGAAGGAGGAUCAUCUGCUUCUGGACCAAGGCUGACCCAUGGGUAGGCUGUACUAGACAGUGCCCUAUGACUUCAGGCUUGUCCAUGUGACUUGAUCUAGACGAUGGAAUAACACAGCAAGAAUGCAGCUGGUCUGCAAGUUAGAAAGAAAAGUCUCACCAGAACCUGAUCACUCUGGCACUCUGAUCUUGGACUUCUGGACUCCAAAACUUUUUAGACCUCCACUUAGGAAGAGACAGACUAUCCGGAGGAAAUGAACCCAGGACUAGAAGUACUACUUUUGAAUUCAAGAAGUCCAAGACAAACUGGUAACAUUUCAGGAAUUCAUCUGUUAGCUGCUAAUUUAGAACAUGGAACAUUUUUUCCACAGAAGUGAAGUGAUACAUAAUGGUUAGCCUUUAGGCUAAUUCACAAAAGUUCAUUCAACCUUCCACUCAAGUGACUCUCCAGACUGUUUUGGUAAAAAUGGAAAAUAAAUGUUGCCAUACUAGUAAUAAAGGAAAAAAGAGAAAAAGGAAACGAAAGAAACCACAAAAUUAUCUUAAAGCCUGCUCUUCACAAUGAAGCCAACCACCUAAUCCAUUGACCUGAUGACACACAGAUCCUCCUAGUGUCCACAUUAUAAUGGCUCAUUACUUAGGUCCAUGGACCCCAAGGAUCCUGGCUUUAUUUAAGGCACAGGGGGCAUGAGGCGAUCAGAGGUAUGCCAAAGCCCAAAGCUGGGAGAAAAGCAUAAAGCCGAAGAGGAGCACCUUUUCUUAGUUGUCCCCUGACUCCAGUGGGACAGGAACUUAGUGACCAGAGUAUUCUCUUCACUUCCCAGCUCCAGGGUUCCCUGGCCACUGCUCUGGGGAGUUCAGUGGCAGCUCAGUAAAGACGGGACCUAAAAACAUGCUUUCUAGCUCAGGCAGGGACUGUGGAAAGGAACAAUUCCCUGAGCUGCCAUGGCCAGUGCUCACUGCUUGCUACUGGCAGAAGCAACCACAGCUCUGACAGUGAGGAGGCUGCCUGGAGGAAUGGCCGCUUCCUGCUCUGACUGAAGCCCCAUAUCAACCCCCUCAAAGAUCUAGGUCUUCCGACGCAUUUCCAUGGUCACAAGCCUGAAGUCCGUAACUUGUGGGUACCUAUCUUUAUCAUUCGCUAAGGCCUGAAAUAGAAAAACCAAGCAUAAAGCCAAACCAGUUCUUCUCCUGGGAAGAACUGCUUAAUGUACUUAAAACUUUAUAGUGAUGUUAACUAUCCCUGUGUAAGUCUGUAUUUUGGGCAAUUCGGAUUUUUAAUUCAUAAGUACUUCUCCAAGUUCACUAUGGAAAACAAUUACCUAUUAGAUCUAAUUUGGACAGGUUUAAGUAUCAGGCAAAGGUAUUUGCCACUCUGAUAUUCUAAGAUUGCCAUUUCAGUUUGCCGUUAGCCCUCUCCCUGACAUUAGAGCACUUUAAAACUAAAAUCAACCUUCUGUUUUCAUUCAGAUAUUAUUAACAAGUAGCAAGGCAUAUGGUAUGUCAGU